rnacentral:rRNA from 1 species
GAUGAACGCUAGCGGCAGGCUUAACACAUGCAAGUCGAGGGGUAGAGGCUUUCGGGUCUUGAGACCGGCGCACGGGUGCGUAACGCGUAUGCAAUCUGCCUUGUACUGGGGGAUAGCCCAGAGAAAUUUGGAUUAAUACCCCAUAGUAUUUUCGGUUGGCAUCAACUGAUUAUUAAAGUUUUUCGGUACAAGAUGAGCAUGCGUCCCAUUAGCUAGUUGGUAUGGUAACGGCAUACCAAGGCUACGAUGGGUAGGGGUCCUGAGAGGGAGAUCCCCCACACUGGUACUGAGACACGGACCAGACUCCUACGGGAGGCAGCAGUGAGGAAUAUUGGUCAAUGGUCGCAAGACUGAACCAGCCAUGCCGCGUGCAGGAUGAAGCAUCUAUGGUGUGUAAACUGCUUUUGUACGGGAAGAAACACUGCUACGUGUAGCAGCUUGACGGUACCGUAAGAAUAAGGAUCGGCUAACUCCGUGCCAGCCGCCGCAGUAACAC